rnacentral:misc_RNA from 1 species
ACACCUCAACCCUCCAAUGUUUUUGCAUUGAAGGCGUUGGUAGUGAGCGCUGCCGGACUUCGGAUCGGCUCGCUUUAAAAUCAUUAGCUGGAUCCAUUCUGACCUGGUUCUACUCGGCGUAAUAAGUUAUUAUCGUCGAGGACGCUUGGCCUUCUAGGCUGGCGGCCACAGUAAGGGUGUUUGAACCGCUUCUAACGCGUCUUGCUCUUGUAGCAAACACUUGAACCU